UCUGCCAAAAGAUAUUUUCAAACUGGGAGUGCAUGACAAGCUGAGGCACCACCUCUCACACAGGGACUUGUACAUCCAGAGACAAUGAAGUGCUCUAGGGGCCAUUGGCAGGAAAAAUAUUCUAGGUAUCCGUGAUGAAGAAAUCCAUGUACCAAACAGCUAUAAUGAAGGCUUUUGAAAGGAAAUGAGGCCAAGUCUUCAAAUGAGGGCUGGAAACAGUUAAAAGCAUGAAGCUCAGCUUUAUUCGAUAACUUUACAUAAAUAAAAUAAGGAAGGAACUUCAAAAGGGAGAGAAGAUGUGGCUGGGCAUGGUUGCCAUAGUAGCAAAAACAUGCUUUUGCCUUUUUGUCAGUUCUUUCUAUAUUGGAGGGCGGUGGGGAGAGGCUCUACAGACUAGAGCUGGAGCCUAGGGGAAGAGCCAAGCAGGGACUAAGCUGUUUGAUCCUGAGAAGAAAAGAAGAAAGAGUUUAUCCAGAAAGUAUGCCUAGGGCUUAUGAGGAGGCAAAGUGGUGAAUGAAGCCUCCCCUGAGAAACAAGUCCAACUGGCAGAGGCUUCCCAGCAUGGAGACGUCUGGAAAAAAGGAAAUGGUACUUUUGGAUCACAUGUGAAGGUUUAAAAAAAUACAGCUGCCCUGGCUUCCUGAAAUCUGGAAAGCUUUACAGCAUGAAAGAAGAAUGGUUUCAUUGGAUAAUAAUCCAUCUGCAAUAAGAGCAAAGUCCAUACUACUAUUAAAUGUGUUUAUCCACUGA